GGUCGGGUAGCGAACGGAAUAUACAAUACCCUUUUGGGGAAAACUGUUGGCCGUCCUAUGUGGUGUUCAAGUACCCGACCGCCCAUCU
rnacentral:ncRNA from 1 species